rnacentral:misc_RNA from 1 species
UGAUUUCUUCUCCCAUGGAUUCCAUACCACUGUUUGCAGGGAUAGACAAGGGUAAAAGAAAGAACAAAAGUGUUAUAGCAUAAUGUAGAGUAUGGGCGAGUGGGCGUAUAAGCCUUUCUAAUCAUUAUGUGCAUGUGCGGGGCCUUUUCUAGUUAGCUUUUUGCACAAUUAUGUAGUUCAAGAGACAAAAAGUCCGACAAUGGCUAUGAACACAUCAAGAUUUUGUGUAAGCAUGUUAAAACAUGCACAUGAACAAACACAUGCAAAUGGGAGCUUACCAACAUCGGGCAGACCUUCCUUUCGUAUCACAAAUGUCCUUUUUCUUUCAUGAUCAAGUACUGCAAUUACAUUAGGAGAACUAAGAUAAACUCGAUCCACCUGCCAGAAAAGUCGGAUAGUAUGAAUAAUUAAAUUUAGAUGGUCUUUGCUCUACAUUGGAUACCAAAAUCAUGCAGGCGUUCAAAGUGGAACUGGCUCAUGUUAUUUGGAAAUAUGCAAUAGACUGUCUUAAAAGCAAUAAUCGGUAUUAAAUUGAAUAUGAAGUUUCUAAAUGAGAAACUCUUAAAUAGGGUAGGUUCUAAGGGGAAAAAGAAGGUUGUGAGCAGCUUGAGCUGCCUCAUCACUUUCAUGCAAGUCACUCUGCAGUGAAUAGGAAAUAUAAACAGAUCAAAUUAACUGUGGAACAGAUUCAGUGCCCUGAUUCUUGAGGCUCCCAGUUGUAAAUGUUUUAUUAUGGUUACAUGCUUGCAGUCAAAUUAAAACCAGAAUUUACCUCGGAUUCAAAAGUUAUGGCAUCUCCUUGUUCUGUAAAUCUCUCUCUUUGGCAAAGGUUGUCUAGAUAGUCAAGUGUUUCCAGUCCUUCUAUCCUCACUUCACUGAGGUUAUAAUUGAUCCAUGUAAGUUAAAAAAUGUAUAUCUUUAACAGCAGGUACUCAUAAUUACAACAAGAUGAACAAAUUUUAAGCAUAAGAUGUUAUAGGUUUAUGGAUGCCAACAAGUGCAACAUACUUAUAAGACUAAUAAAUUUUGGUGGCAAAUUCACUAAUAAAUUAUGUAAAAUUCACAAACUCGCCCGCACCAACGAUUUAAUGGCUUGAACUGGCCCUAAAAACCAAACUUGAACCAAUGGUUUGGCGCGAUAGAUAUAAGAAGGGGCCACAUAGACCAAACCAAAUCAAACCGCUCAAAGACCUAAACCAGAACUGUCAUUGAACUGGACCAAAACCAGCCCUAAACAGUGUUGAACCAAAACCAACUGGAACCACCUAAAACUGGUCCAGUUCAUCCACUUUCUCAACCCUGAACCACUGGUUCAGGCCUGGAAUCAGCCUGGACUGAACCACAGAACCAGUGGCCAGAUCUAACUAGAAUCAUUGGAAAAACUCCUUCCUGACAUUUUAUAAAUUGGUUUCACAAGACAAUUAAACAAAUUUUUCUUCCACUGUAGAGUUACCAUCCAUUGAGAUGAACAAGUUUUUAUUUUCAAGAAAAUAAUUUUAUAAUUUGUCUCAUGCUUAACAGCCAAAUUUGUCUGUUUUGGGGGCAUCAUUUCUUGAAAUAAAUCAUACCUUAUGUCAGAAACUGAUAAGUAUGUGUGAUAUGCAAAUGAGAAACUAAAUGGUUUGCCGUUGAUAUUCCGAACUCUUGAUAUUAAUGCCAAAUCUCCAUUUGUCGCAAGUAACACCCUAACACGAAACUCAAAACUAUGGGGCCAGCACUUCAGGUCUUCUUCAGAUGGUUUAAGCAGUAGGUCAACAAAGGACUUCCCCUUGGAAUCAUUGGAUUGCAAAGGAGGAGGAUUGUCAUCAACUGUCCAAAUCUUGUUCCUAGCAAAACCAUGCUGCUCUAGUGAUCCGCAGUUUCCAAACUGAGGGAAACAAAUAGGGAUUCCUCCCCUCAUUGCUUUUGGUGGCUUAAAGAUUGCCUUGCUACUGGUGAACAGAAGUUCUUCCCCUCGUUCAUUCCUCCAUGAAACCACUUGUCCUCCAUGCAGGCUUACCCGGGCAGAAGCCCCUUGUGGAUUUCGAACCACGACCUGUUCAAUACCAUUCCAGUCCUUUGUAAUCUCAAUGGCUGCUCUGUGAUCCCAGACAGCUGCAGAAUGCCCCAUUUUGAAGAAGAAAAACUGGAAAUCUCUAAUACUCUACUUUCCUUUUGCAAUCUAAACAGGACCCAAACAGACUCCUAAGGGACUUCUAUUCUCUAAUUAAGCACCCCAGAGCACCAAGAAGCGCACAACACCCGUAUCAUAGCGAAUUAGCAAGAAACAUAAAAGCACCUGUGGAGAGAAUUGAAAAUCUCAACACAUAUCCUGUGAGUCUCGUGAGUUCAAAGCACAAGCGCUGAGCUAUACCUUCAACCAGGAGAACUCUAAUUGAUCCUAAUCACCCUUAGAGUACUAUAUUAUGAAAGAGAAAUGCUAUGGAAGAAAAAACCUAAAGCUGAAACAAAGAGACGCAGAAAGUGAAAACAUUUGGCAACUGCAUAGGCCAACACCUACCAACAAUUGAUAAAGAAAUCAACAGAAACUUGUCACAUUUACAUAAGAAGAAGACAAUCAGAAGAUAAGACCAUAAAUAAAAUCAUAACUUCUAUGAAAUAUUCUUUCUUCUAAGUUAAACCUUUUUCUAUCGAUGAAAAGAAAAACAAAAGACAAAAAGAAAAAAGAAAAAAAAAAUUCAAAUCCCAAUGCUUAAAUCAGAUGCCUACUAAAAUUUUAUUAGCAUAGUAUAUCACAUAAUCAAAACACCAUCAUGGUACUUCCAGCGAUACCAAAAUGCAGCAUGCCGCUCUGCUAUUGAACUAUUUGAGUGUUUCCCAAAUGCAUCUAUCUGAGUCAUGACAGGAAGAAUGAGAUUAAAUCAAAUAGUGGCACGUUAUAAGCACCACAACUAGUAAGAACUUUCUAGAAAAUUUCCAACAUGUAGUGAUUGUGAUGAUAAUAAAUAUAUCUCAGAAAUAUUCUCCAUUGGCCCAUAUGACAACUCCCAGGUAUACAUGAAGUGCCUUGUAUGUCUAGAAAAAUCCAGUCAUAUUGCUGAAGCAAUUUUUCAUAAACACUAAAAUAAAUUGCACACCUAACUGUAUUAGUGUAUUGUUAAAAGACACCAUCCAAAAUCAUCCCCAGAUAAUGGGCCGCACAAAGUAAAGCCUGAAGUUACCUGCAAGUCACUGGACAAGUCCUUUACAUUAUCCUCUGAGAGCUUCUUUUCCUUCUCCAGUUUCUCAUAGGCUUUCAAUGCAUCUCUUCUAAUAUUCCUCAAUGCCACCUUUCCUUCUUCAGCCUGUUUGGCGACCAUUUUUGACAAUUCCACUUGCUACAUCCCACAAGACCAAAGGAAACUACCUUCCUUCUUUCUGAUGUCAAUUGAGGAAGGGACAACCGUAUCACUUCUCCGUCAUUAUUUGGAGUCAAACCAAGAUCAGAGCUGACAAUGGCCUUCUCUAUAGCCUUUAGGCUGGCAUGCAAGAAGUAACAAAUAUAAGAAAAGAGAACAAAAUAGUCAGCAAAGAUUUAUUACCAUUCUGUGAUUUCACUACAUAUUCUGUUCCUUUAGCAAAUGAAAAUUUUGUAAAACCAGUCCCUACUCUCUAGUACUUAGUUGACAACAGGAAUGCUAUACUUCUAGUAUGCGUACUAUAUCUAUUCCAUAGAUGAGUAAAUAAGCACAGUCGAUGGUCCUCAAAAAUCCCCAGUUUUCCUGUCUCUUUGCUUUUUGCAAUACCUGGAUUUGUCAUAUGGCUGGACCAAAAGAGAACUUGCUUCAGGAGUACUGAUUUGAGCUAUGCUCUUCAAGCUGACUGGACUUCCAUAAUACUCCACCUAUAUAAGCAUGGUUUCAUACCUUUUCCAAUAAAAAGUGAAGACUUUAACAGAACAAUAAAUUAUAACUAGUAGAUAUUUGAUAACAAGUGCUGCACAAGCCACCUCAUGUCUGCUAUGUUAAACACUGAGUUCAUGUUUAACAAAGAAGAGAUCUAAUCCAAAUUGAAUGUAAACUUUAACAAAAAGAGUAAGCUUUGUGACUCUCAUAACAUUUAAUACCAUUUGGAUAAAAUGAAAAAUAGGAAUAAGAAGAGAAAAUGAUUACAUUUUUCUUCCUCACUAAAAAGUUCUUUCUACAAAAUAAAUCCACCUAAAUCAAAUUAGAAUAGAGUGAGCUUAAAAGCAUCAAGUUUUUUUCAUAUGAAAAUAUUAAAUGUAAUUAAAUAAUGCUAAAGAUUUGAAUUAUUUAGCAACAAGGGAAAAAAAUAAAAUAUGGCAUGCUUCUCAUUUCCUACCCUAGAACUUAUUCCUUUGUGCACAGAAUAAAAGUUCCUGCUAAGGCAACUAGAGGAACUGAUUUCCUUUAGUUCCUUUAAAUCAAAGAGCAUAAGACCGUUGGAACCUACACCUGACACAGAUCACAUUCUGAUUCUAAUAUGGUAUGUUAAACACACACUCAGUAACAACUACUUUUUCUAUGUUAGUUCAUAGCUGAAGGAGGUUUCGCUGACAAAGUUGUAACAUGGCAACGCACUUGAGGCUGAGAAAGGCUCCCUAAAAGUAGAGAAGAUGAAGGAUAAGGAGCUAUAUCAUAUAGAAUGUUCAUGAAAAAUAGACCACAGACAUAACUACAUAUUGAUCCUGUCUCAUUGAAGCAGCCCAGAUGAGUUGCAAAUGUAGAGAUACGGGAAUCCCCAAGCUAAGAUAUACUUUGCAGCACAAACGAGAGGCAGCAAAGAUAUAUAGAUGAUAAGAUGGCCCUCCCCAACCCUCAAAAGGUGGGGACCCCUGUAUAUGGGGUUUGGGGAUGCCUUGAACUUUACAAGAAGACUCGAUAAAAAUGUAAACAGUGUGAUGUCAUUUGUUGAAUGUACAACAACAAGGAAAAUUACAGACAUAUAUUAUUGAAUUCAAAAAAACAACAUAUAGUAAAUAAUGAUUUGGAAGAGAAGCACAAGUGAAGAGGAACUAAAUCAUGUACUUUUGUUUCUGAGUGAUUCAUCAUUUGGAAAGUUAUAAUCUGCACAGUAUUUAUUUUUUGAUAGUUAAAUUUUGUUACGGAACUUAAUCUCCCUCUAUCUUUCCUUUCUUUCUUUCUUUCUUCUACUUGAGCACGCCAGCCAGCUAGUCCUGUUUGAAUUCAGGGAAAGAGAUUAGGAGGAAAUGGCCGUGGGAGGUUUCGCCGUUAACGAGCCUGUCAAUGGAUUCAACGGCAAGAUAACAGUGUCAGUGGUGGUUACUUGCAUCGUAGCUGCAUCGAGUGGACUCAUUUUUGGCUACGACAUCGGAAUUUCAGGAGGUGUAACGACAAUGGCACCAUUUCUGAAGAAAUUCUUCCCAUCGGUACUGAGGAAGCAAUCAGAGGCCAAAACAAACAUGUAUUGCAUAUAUGAUAGCCAGGUUUUAACAGCAUUCACAUCAUCGCUAUACAUAGCAGGCUUAGCUGCUUCACUUGUAGCUAGUCGCCUCACCGCAGCAUUGGGCCGCAAGAACACCAUGGUGCUAGGUGGCUGCACUUUCCUUGCAGGCGCCGCCAUCAACGGUGGUGCUGCCAACAUCUCCAUGCUCAUCGUGGGCCGCAUCUUGCUUGGUUUUGGAGUUGGCUUCACCAACCAGGCAACUCCUGUUUACCUCUCAGAGGUAGCACCACCGAAAUGGCGGGGGGCAUUCAACACAGGCUUCCAGUUUUUCAUAGGCAUUGGGGUAGUAUCAGCCAACUGCAUAAAUUUUGGCACGGCUAAGCACACCUGGGGUUGGCGUCUCUCCCUUGGCCUUGCCAUCGUACCUGCAGCUAUAAUGACAAUGGGUGCACUCCUUAUCUCCGACACCCCUACUAGCCUGGUGGAGCGUGGCAAGCUUGAGCAAGCUCGAAAAUCUCUCAUCAAAGUCCGAGGAAGUGACACUAAUGUGGAUGCUGAGCUUGCUGAGCUUAUUAAAUCCAGUGAAGCGGGCAAAGCUGCUCAAGCAGAACCUUUUGUAACCAUAUUUGAGAGGCAGUAUAAGCCUCACCUAGUGAUGUCAAUUGCUAUACCUUUUUUCCAACAACUGACUGGGAUUAACAUAAUUGCAUUUUAUGCCCCUGUUCUUUUUCAAUCAGUUGGAUUUGGUAAUGAUUCAGCUUUAAUUGCAGCCAUAAUUCUGGGAUUAGUUAAUCUGGGUUCAAUCCUGGUGUCUACGGGCGUGGUCGAUCGAUACGGUCGAAGAUUCUUGUUCAUUGUUGGAGGGACUCAGAUGUUCAUCUGUCAGGUUGCAGUAGCUUGCGUGCUGGCGGCAACAACAGGGGUUUCAGGCACCAAACACAUCUACAAGGGCUAUGCCAUAUUAGUACUGGUUUUAAUGUGCAUCUACGCUGCUGGUUUUGGUUGGUCUUGGGGGCCUCUAAGCUGGCUGAUUCCAAGUGAAAUAUUCCCUAUGAAAAUUCGUCCCACAGGCCAAAGCAUAAGCGUAGCUGUAAAUUUCGCUACCACAUUUGUGCUCUCACAAACAUUCUUAACCAUGCUAUGUCACUUCAAAUAUGGAACUUUCCUGUUCUAUGCUGGUUGGAUUGCCAUGAUGACCAUAUUUGUUGUACUUUUCUUGCCGGAGACGAAGGGAAUUCCUUUGGAUUCCAUGUAUUCGGUGUGGGAGCGGCACUGGUACUGGCGCAGGUUCGUUCAAGGGCAGGUGUAGGCAAAAUCUUGCUGAACAAAUAUGAAAAUUAUCUGGUUCUAAUUAGCUGGGUACUAUUUUAUAAACAGCAAGUUUAUAAAGGUGCAAUAGAAUGACAAAUUUUAAAGCAUUUUAUAUUCAUGUUGCUCUGUUGAAGAGAAUAUUUUCAUAUACUAAUAUUUUAGGGUAAAUUAUUAUUUAGCUCAUAAAAGUUUAUCAUUGUUAAUAUUUUUAUCUUUUUAUUUUAAAAAUAUAUUAAAAUGUUCUUAAAAUUUAGUUUCGUCUCUAAG